rnacentral:rRNA from 1 species
CAAACGAGGUAGUAACACGUAGGUACGACCCCCCAGAGUCGGGCAUAGCCAGCCGAAGGUUGGGUAAUUCCCGAUAGUCCCGAAAGGGUAAAGGUUUUUCGCUCUGGGAGUUGCCUGCGUAGUAUCAGCUAGUUGGUAGGGUAAUGGCCUACCAAGGCUACGACGCUUAGGGGAGCUGAGAGGCUGACCCCCACCGAUGGAACUGCGACACGGUCCAUACUCCUACGGGAGGCUGCAGACGAGAAUAUUCCGCAAUGGGCGAAAGCCUGACGGAGCGACGCCGCGUGAUUGAUGAAGUGCUUCGGUACGUAAAGAUCUUUUAUCGGGGACGAAGUUUAUUGACGGUACCCGAUGAAUAAGGGGCUCCUAACUCUGUG